GAGCUUGCCAGCUAGCUGAGGACGACCUUGAAAUUCUCUCUUCCUGCCUCUACACCCUAAGUGCCCAGUUUAUGUAGUGUUGGAGAUGGAACCCAGGACUUUGUGCAUGCUAGGGAGAAGAUACGCUAUGAGAGCUGCUUCUGCCAUGGAGUUGAGGUCACCAUUAGUGGUACCCAGGAGUGACAGUGAAUUGCCUCUGUCCUCAAGAGAAAGAAGUCUCUUCUGGUUGCGUCUGCCUUCCUUAGAAGCUUGUCAAAAUCUGUGAAUACAUCAGGAGGAAGCGGCGUGAGUGGGGAGAGCGAAGGUCCCCAAGUGGGCACUGGGGUGGACAGCACUGGCUGCUGCGUUCCGCAGACCCCAGAGCUGUGAGCGGAGAGCCCGGGAGGGUGCACGGGGAAGGGUGGGUUCAAGCCGGUGGGGCAGGUGCUUCAGGGAGGAGUGGAGUCAGCUGACCGUCAUC